UCGAGGCAGAUAGAAGGCACAUCAAGAUUAUCUAGCACCAAAUGUGAUGAAUUCUGAAAUUCUAAGUGUAACGCACAUACUUGAUGAUGCGGGCGGCAUUACUGUGCUUCCAGACGGCCUAGCUGGUCACAUCGACAUCGACACUGAGCCCGACGAGCCCUCGAGUAUCUUCUGUCGGCCAGUACACCAACAGAGCUACUCUACAGUCACACCAAGUAUUAUACACCAUCGACGUUACAGCCUCUCCGCCAAAAUCCCAACAGUUCCAACAGUUCCGUCCACAUCAAGCUGCCCAGCCUUCCAGAAAGACAUCUGACGUCUUUGGGUGAUUUUUGCAGGUCCAUUUUUUUUCUGCGCAUCAUAGAUCGGCCCUAUUCUUCACCGAGUAAAGGAUAGCCAUCAAGAUCGCAAGGCAGUGGCGCCGUGUUAGCCGUCCCUCCAAACUAGGGCCCAAAGAAACAGGAAUCGAACCCGCCCAGCUCAUACACAGCGGCACACCUCAUUCUCAGAACACGCCUGGCGUGCUCCGAGAGAAACGUCGACGACGGAACCUCCAGUCGUCAUCAGACCCAGGCGCCAUCCGCAAAAACUUCAAAAAAGAAUGACACCCCGGCCCCGGGCCAAGACACUUGGACACCGGAUGUCGUCACGCCUACAGCAUCGGCGGCUGACUCGUAAGCCAGCCGCCGAUGCUGUAGACCUGAUAACUAUGUUCUUCGCAAUUCGAUAUGUAACGUUGUCUUUGGUCUCAUCCAUAUGAUCAACGCAGAGUCCAAGAAUAACUGAUUCCAGCUUGCAAUCUGCGUGUUGCAUGUGAGCACCCUCGGCGACGGCCGAUAACAGGAGUAUGAUCAUGGCUGCGGAAAGACACUUUGCACAUCAGCUACUUGGCGGACCAAACUCCUACCCAACUGUGGUUUACAACACAGCCGGAGGGGGAGGGUGGGGUCGUCUGUGAAAGGAGAGGUAAGAGGGUACGAUCGUCUCUGCUUCCAUAGAACUUCCCCGUCGUGGUCUUGUCGUAGGAUCCAUCUGGCCUGUGAUUCGGGUGAUCAGUCCGUCAUUGUGGCCGUGACAAGACUUGGGAUUGCGUCUCUGCGUUUGCUCUGUAUGCUGUCGAAGAAGUAACCAGUUGUUUUCUCGCACAUGAGUCUGAGUAAGUUGGCGCGAAAAGGUGGAAUCAGCAUUCAGGUUCCCGGGCGGCACCGCGUGGAGGUGCAGAGGCCGAC